rnacentral:rRNA from 1 species
GGGUCAGUAGGUUGGUCGUGCCUCCGGUACGUACUGGUCUCACUGAUCCCUCCUUCCUGAAGAACCGUAAUGCCAUUAAUUUGGUGUUGCGGGGAAACAGGACUGUUACUUUGAAAAAAUUAGAGUGUUUAAAGCAAGCUAACGCUUGAAUACAUUAGCAUGGAAUAAUGAAAUAGGACGAUCGAUCCUAUUUUGUUGGUUUCUAGGAUUGACGUA